GACGAACGCUGGCGGCGUGCUUAACACAUGCAAGUCGAACGGAAAGGCCCUGCUUUUGUGGGGUGCUCGAGUGGCGAACGGGUGAGUAACACGUGAGUAACCUGCCCUUGACUUUGGGAUAACUUCAGGAAACUGGGGCUAAUACCGGAUAGGAGCUCCUGCUGCAUGGUGUGGGUUGGAAAGUUUCGGCGGUUGGGGAUGGACUCGCGGCUUAUCAGCUUGUUGGUGUGGUAGUGGCUUACCAAGGCUUUGACGGGUAGCCGGCCUGAGAGGGUGACCGGCCACAUUGGGACUGAGAUACGGACCAGACUCCUACGGGAGGCAGCAGUGGGGAAUAUUGCACAAUGGGCGGAAGCGUGAUGCAGCAACGCCGCGUGCGGGAUGACGGCCUUCGGGUUGUAAACCGCUUUCGACUGUGACGAAGCGUGAGUGACGGUAAUGGGUAAAGAAGCACCGGCUAACUACGUG
rnacentral:rRNA from 1 species